rnacentral:rRNA from 1 species
GAUGAACGCUGGCGGCGUGCUUAACACAUGCAAGUCGAACGGAAAGGCCUCUGCUUGCAGGGGUACUCGAGUGGCGAACGGGUGAGUAACACGUGGGUGAUCUGCCCUGCACUUCGGGAUAAGCCUGGGAAACUGGGUCUAAUACCGGAUAGGACAAUGGUUUGGAUGCUGUUGUGGAAAGUUUUUCGGUGUGGGAUGAGCUCGCGGCCUAUCAGCUUGUUGGUGGGGUGAUGGCCUACCAAGGCGUCGACGGGUAGCCGGCCUGAGAGGGUGUACGGCCACAGUGGGACUGAGAUACGGCCCAGACUCCUACGGGAGGCAGCAGUGGGGAAUAUUGCACAAUGGGCGCAAGCCUGAUGCAGCGACGCCGCGUGGGGGAUGACGGCCUUCGGGUUGUAAACUCCUUUCGCUAGGGACGAAGCGUUUUUGUGACGGUACCUGGAGAAGAAGCACCGGCUAACUACGUG